rnacentral:rRNA from 1 species
AGAGUUUGAUCCUGGCUCAGAUUGAACGCUGGCGGCAGGCCUAACACAUGCAAGUCGAGCGGUAGAGAGGUGCUUGCACCUCUUGAGAGCGGCGGACGGGUGAGUAAUGCCUAGGAAUCUGCCUGGUAGUGGGGGAUAACGCUCGGAAACGGACGCUAAUACCGCAUACGUCCUACGGGAGAAAGCAGGGGACCUUCGGGCCUUGCGCUAUCAGAUGAGCCUAGGUCGGAUUAGCUAGUUGGUGGGGUAAUGGCUCACCAAGGCGACGAUCCGUAACUGGUCUGAGAGGAUGAUCAGUCACACUGGAACUGAGACACGGUCCAGACUCCCUACGGGAGGCAGCAGUGGGGAAUAUUGGACAAUGGGCGAAAGCCUGAUCCAGCCAUGCCGCGUGUGUGAAGAAGGUCUUCGGAUUGUAAAGCACUUUAAGUUGGGAGGAAGGGCAUUAACCUAAUACGUUAGUGUUUUGACGUUACCGACAGAAUAAGCACNGGCUANUAU